rnacentral:rRNA from 1 species
CAGUCGCCGCGGGAAUACGUAGGUAGCAAGCGUUGUCCGGAAUUACUGGGCGUAAAGGGCUCGCAGGCGGUUUCUUAAGUCUGAUGUGAAAGCCCCCGGCUCAACCGGGGAGGGUCAUUGGAAACUGGAAACUUGAGUGCAGAAGAGGAGAGUGGAAUUCCACGUGUAGCGGUGAAAUGCGUAGAGAUGUGGAGGAACACCAGUGGCGAAGGCGACUCUCUGGUCUGUAACUGACGCUGAGGAGCGAAAGCGUGGGGAGCGAACAGGAUUAGAUACCCCCGUAGUCCCUGUCUCUUAUACA